AUUGAACGCUGGCGGAAUGCUUUACACAUGCAAGUCGAACGGCAGCACGGACUUCGGUCUGGUGGCGAGUGGCGAACGGGUGAGUAAUACAUCGGAACGUGCCCAGUCGUGGGGGAUAACGUAGCGAAAGCUACGCUAAUACCGCAUACGAUCUACGGAUGAAAGCGGGGGAUCGCAAGACCUCGCGCGAUUGGAGCGGCCGAUGGCAGAUUAGGUAGUUGGUGGGGUAAAGGCUCACCAAGCCGACGAUCUGUAGCUGGUCUGAGAGGACGACCAGCCACACUGGGACUGAGACACGGCCCAGACUCCUACGGGAGGCAGCAGUGGGGAAUUUUGGACAAUGGGCGCAAGCCUGAUCCAGCCAUUCCGCGUGCAGGAUGAAGGCCCUCGGGUUGUAAACUGCUUUUGUACGGAACGAAUAGGCUCUGGUUAAUACCCGGGGCUCAUGACGGUACCGUAAGAAUAAGCACCGGCUAACUACGUGCCAGCAGCCGCCGCAG
rnacentral:rRNA from 1 species